GUGUGACUGCUGUUUCCUGUCGUGCUCUCACCGUACGCUCGUCAGGGUAUCAGCUGUUACUCAUUGGUAGUGUACGUCGGCUUCAUCCUCAUGGCCGUGCCCACCACUCUCCUCUAUUUCCUUCCACACUGCGCGAGAUCAGGGAAUGAGCUUGAUAUAACUGACUCCUGGUGUUUACUAAAGAGGUGAGCGAUCGGGGUAAGGGCGGGGGGGGGGUGAACUGUGAAUUCUGAACUAGCAGCUCAUGAUAUCCUCCCCCAAAUCUAGAGCCAAGCAACAGGGUAGAUCCUCUGAGAAGGCUCUGGAGGUUUGGAGCAGUCUGGAGAUUUGCAAUUUGGAGCAAUGUGGAGAUCAGCAAAACCUAGGGAGCUGCUUAUUCCAUGAUUCUCAAGACAGCUUCUUCCAGACACCGGCCACGCCAUCCUACCAUGUGGGGCCUGAACGUACAGCCUCUGGAACCAGACCACCUGGACUGAAAUCCCAGCUCCUCCAGGAUCAAGCUGAGUGACCUCAGUCUGGAUCAACGUUCUGCUCCCUUAUAACCAAGACUCCUAUCCGAUCUAAUGAGCAAGAUUUGCAAUCUGCAUUUGCAUCAGAAAAGAGCAUUUUCAAUAAAGAAUGGAAUGAGCACAGGCACAGAAACAUGGGCAUUUAUUUUGGAAAAGGGAACUAAUUUUGCAUGUAAAUGGCUAACAGUUUGAAGAGUGAACUGAAUCGGGGAAAACGAAAGACUGCAGGAUACACUCAAGGGCCACUGGAAUGUUUCAGCCAAGAAUGAACGAUGAGGCUAUGAAUUAAAUAAAUGGGAAGAAGCAGAUAAUCGAGCCACCAUGAAGUCAAAAUGGUAACAGGGAAACAGCCUGAAUAAUUCAUCCAAGGUCAUGGAUUCCUUUACUGGGGCUGCUGAUUCCAACCCCCCAGGUCUCUGCUUUGAACAUUUCAACCACAAUUUUCUCUGAUGCGAAGGGAGCCCUUGCCGGAGCUACCUAGCUUUCAGGACCCAGUGCAAAAUGCAAAUGUGAGCCUCUAGUUUAACUGCUCUUAUGAAUUCCAAGACAGCCACAGCAAGACAUUAAGCCAAGCACGGAACUCUUCCAAGUGCAGGGCCCCGUGGACAACACAAGCUGCCCAGUCAUGAAACUUGCCUCGUCAAAAAUGGAAUCUCUAGGGGCACCUGGGUGGCUCGGUUGGUUAAGUGUCUGCCUUUGGCUUGGGUUUUAAUCAUAGGGUCUUGAGAUCUAGUCCUGCAUCAGGCUCCCUGCUCAGUGGGGAGUCUGCUUCUCCCUCUCCCUCUGCCCCAGCCCCUCAUUCGUGCUCUCUGUUUCUCUCAAGAUAAAUAAAUAACAUCUUUUAAAAAAUGGAAUUUGUAGCUUUCUUCAAUAA
rnacentral:lncRNA from 1 species